GUAUGGGGCGAGCGUUGUUCGGAUUUACUGGGCGUAAAGGGCUUGUAGGUGGUGGAUCAAGUCGGAUGUGAAAUCUCCGGGCUUAACCCGGAAAUUGCAUUCGAAACUGAUCCGCUAGAGUACCGGAGAGGGAAACGGAAUUCCUGGUGUAGGGGUGAAAUCUGUAGAUAUCAGGAAGAACACCGGUGGCGAAGGCGGUCUCCUGGCCGGAUACUGACACUGAGGAGCGAAAGCUAGGGGAGCAAACAGGAUUAGAUACCCUGGUAGUCCUAGCCGUAAACGUUGUGCACUAGGUGUAAGUAGGUUUAUCUACUUGUGCCGUAGCUAACGCAUUAAGUGCACCGCCUGGGGAGUAUGCUCGCAAGGUG
rnacentral:rRNA from 1 species